GAUGAACGCUGGCGGCGUGCCUAAUACAUGCAAGUAGAACGCUGAAGGAGGAGCUUGCUCUUUCCGGAUGAGUUGCGAACGGGUGAGUAACGCGUAGGUAACCUGCCUGGUAGCGGGGGAUAACUAUUGGAAACGAUAGCUAAUACCGCAUAACAGUAGAUAUUGCAUGAUAUUUGCUUGAAAGGGGCAAUUGCUCCACUACCAGAUGGACCUGCGUUGUAUUAGCUAGUUGGUGAGGUAACGGCUCACCAAGGCGACGAUACAUAGCCGACCUGAGAGGGUGAACGGCCAACCUGGGACUGAGACACGGGCCAGACCUCUACGGGAGGCAGCAGGAGGGAAUCUUCGGCAAUGGACGGAAGUCUGGCCGAGCAACGCCGCGGGAGUGAAGAAGGUUUUCGGAUCGUAAAGCUCUGUUGUAAGAGAAGAACGAGUGUGAGAGUGGAAAGUUCACGCUGUGACGGUAUCUUACCAGAAAGGGACGGCUAACUACGUG
rnacentral:rRNA from 1 species